UUUAUAUAAUAUACCCACAGUAUAUUUAACUUCCAAUUAAAAAGCUUAUUUAUUAAAUAAUAUAAAUAA
rnacentral:tRNA from 1 species